CUAAUGAAAUGAAGAUUCACACAUUCCAUUGUCUCAGAAGAUGAACUCUUCUCUGGUACUAGUGAUUGUACUCUUGUUAAUGUUUGGAAAAAGCAAUGAAGUCUCCGUGACUCAGACGGAAAGUCAAGUGACACUCUCUGAAGGGACUCCUCUGACUGUGAACUGUUCCUAUGAAACCCAACAGUACCCAGCCCUGUUCUGGUACGUGCAGUAUCCCAGAGAAGGUCCACAGCUCCUAUUCAGAGUCUCGAAGGCCAUUGAGAAAGGAAGCAGCAGAGGUUUUGUAGCUACAUAUGACAGAGGAUCCAGUUCUUUCCACUUGCAGAAAGCCUCGGUCCAAGAGUCAGACUCGGCUGUGUACUACUGUGCUCUGAGUGGCACAGUGUCAGAAGCCACAGGGGGAGAUGAGCACAAACUCUGAGAAGCAGGUCAUGCCAGCUGAGUGUGUCUGACACCUCUCAUUUAGGGACCAGGUGCAGGUCUGCUAUUGUUGCUGAUAACUGCACACACAGGCACUGCUGCAGUGUAAUCCAUGAAAAUUAACAUGAACAGCAUAUUAGGAGAACAGGAAGUGAGCAUGCCUUACUUUAGACUUGACAUGAAAGGGUCAAAGUAGUCACACAUCAAGGUGACUUCUUUUUUUGUUUUUGUUUUGUGAGAUGGUAUUUCUACGAGCCCAGGAGCCAGGCUGGCCUUGAAAUCUUCAUUAAGCUGAGGUUGGCUUUGAACUCCUAUUCUUUGAGGUUACACCUCAUGUGGGCUGGAGAUAUAGGCAUGAACCACCACACUAGAGUGAAUUUGUGAUUUCUUAAAUAUGAAAUCUCUUGUUGAAUGAAACUAUGUAUGUGUUUGUCAUCCCUUAGAAGUUUUAUUCCCUGAGCCAGACUCAUGUCAUUCACGAAAUUAUCAUGGAUUAUGAGGCUACACAUGCUCCUUAUUCCUCACAUGUUUUGGUAACUUAUUUGUUUUUCCUAAAGUUUCUUACAUUUGAUUGAAUUUAGAAUAAAAGUUCUCAAAGGAGUCAGUCUGUAUCUUGGGAAAAUACAUUCCUGCCACUUUUAUUUGGCUUCCUUCAUACUUUUGGCCAAAACUAUAUUAUAUUCUUCAGCCUCUUCCUUAAGUUUCUUAUGCAUUCUUCUUUCAGUUCAGGAAGUCAAUGGUUGUGAUUUGCAUGGAGGAAAGUGAUCCUGAAUCUUGGGUGCUUUGCUCUUGGAGAAAAAUCAAUUAAAAUGAAGAAACGAAUGCUCUCAAUUCUGCUUCUAGGUCAAAUGAUGGAAACUGAAUUAAGUGUCAGGAAAGUUAGAGGUGACAUUGUUAGGAGAAAGAAACUUGGAGUGUGGUGGACUUGGCACAUAAUACAGGCUAGGAAUUAGAUAGAGUGGUAUAGACAACUAUACCAAAGAGAUUCUUAGUCCUCAAGGAAAACUAGGGACA